AUUCACACACACAAAAAAUGAAAAUAAAACUCUUGUUCAGAUAUCAGACUUGAUAUGUAUUAAAUGUGACCAUAAUGCAAACAUGAUCAGCAUUGACAAUUCUUUGUUAGAAAACCAACCAACUCAUUCCAAAUGCUUUCUUCCAAUAUACAGGUAACAGGAUAAAAAGCUCUCCAUCUUUUCCACUCUCCAUUUUAAAUAAGGCAGUGAGGUGGUGCUUUCUCAUCCGCAACAUGCACAUAUUUUUAAGAUGCGAUGCACAAAGAAGGGCAAUGGAAGGGUUAAGGCAAGCAUGAGCUGAAAGGUUGGUGGUCUGCCAAGAUGUUACCACCAGACUCCUUUCCGAAGAGCUACCAUAAAUAUACAGAUGACAUCAGUGGAACACCACAGCAUGCCUUCUU
ensembl:lncRNA